GUUCUCCUGGUUAUUUCUUGUUUCUGUGCUGUCAUUAGUCUAAUCUCCUCAGAUCCCUGGCCGCCCUCCCCACUUUCCCCACCAUUUGGGUCAUAAAGCCAGAACUGAUGUUUGCAUGGCCACACUGACAGGGUUGGACCUGUCUCGUCCCCAUGAGUCCAGUACAUGUGGCCGGAUGCCAGGCUAAGAAGUUCAAUGCAGUCAUCUGGUAGGAUUACUGGAGUUCUGUGGAUGGGUGAGAGGAGGGGAAGCGGGUCCAGGACGGAGCAGCAACUUCCUGCCGUGUCUCACUGAAGCCAAUGUGAACGGCAGACGGCGGGAGGUGGAAAACGGCGGCUGCUGGAGUUGCUCCAGUCACUGUUUUGGCAAAGUCACUACUGGGACAGAUGGCCCAGUCGUCGCUGAACACACACUGAAACACAGAGACAGACACGGAAAAGCCCCUGACAGAGGACGAUGCAUGAGCACAAGCACAGGGUGGCAAACAAGUGCCAGCAGAUUAAUGCAGAGCCACCUACAGACAGAAACAUGUGAAUAAACACACACACACACACACACACACACACACACACACACACACACACACACACACACACACACACACAAACUUAGUCUACAUCAAAUUAGGGAUUAGAUUAAAUGCCACAUCGAAUCCACUUUAUUUUCCCGUCCUUCAAUCCUGUAACCCGGCCUUUUACAACAUACAAAAUAUAAACAGCAACUGUGCUGACAGAUUAGUUUUGUGUACUUGUAUAUAUAAGAGAUAACAGCCGA